rnacentral:rRNA from 1 species
UACGAAGGGGGCUAGCGUUGCUCGGAAUCACUGGGCGUAAAGCGCACGUAGGCGGCUUUUUAAGUCAGGGGUGAAAUCCUGGAGCUCAACUCCAGAACUGCCUUUGAUACUGAGAGGCUCGAGUCCGGGAGAGGUGAGUGGAACUGCGAGUGUAGAGGUGAAAUUCGUAGAUAUCGCAAGAACACCAGUGGCGAAGGCGGCUCACUGGCCCGGUACUGACGCUGAGGUGCGAAAGCGUGGGGAGCAAACAGG